ACAGAGGUCCCAAGCGUUGUUCGGAUUCACUGGGCGUAAAGGGUGCGUAGGCGGUUUGAUAAGUCUGAUGUGAAAUCCCGCAGCUUAACUGCGGAACUGCAUUGGAGACUAUUUGACUAGAGGAAUGGAGGGGAGACUGGAAUACUUGGUGUAGCAGUGAAAUGCGUAGAUAUCAAGUGGAACACCAGUGGCGAAGGCGAGUCUCUGGACAUUUCCUGACGCUGAGGCACGAAAGCCAGGGGAGCAAACGGGAUUAGAUACCCCGGUAGUCCUGGCCCUAAACGGUGCACGUUUGCUGUAAGCGGAAUCGACCCCGCUUGUGGCGUAGUUAACACGAUAAACGUGCCGCCUGGGAAGUACGGCCGCAAGGUUA
rnacentral:rRNA from 1 species